rnacentral:rRNA from 1 species
CCUANGGGCGGCAGCAGUGGGGAAUCUUGCGCAAUGGGCGAAAGCCUGACGCAGCGACGCCGCGUGAGGGAAGAAGGCCUUCGGGUUGUAAACCUCUUUCAGGAGGGACGAAGCUACUCGGGUUAAUAGCCCAGAGGGUGACGGUACCUCCAGAAGAAGCCCCGGCUAACUACGUGCCAGCAGCCGCGGUAAUACGUAGGGGGCAAGCGUUGUCCGGAUUUACUGGGCGUAAAGAGCGUGUAGGCGGCCAAGCAGGUCUGUUGUGAAAACUGGAGGCUCAACCUCCAGACGUCGACAGAAACCGCGUGGCUAGAGUCCGGAAGAGGAGAGUGGAAUUCCUGGUGUAGCGGUGAAAUGCGCAGAUAUCAGGAAGAACACCAAUGGCGAAGGCAGCUCUCUGGGACGGUACUGACGCUGAGACGCGAAAGCGUGGGGAGCGAACAGGAUUAGAUACCCCANUANUC